UGCAAGUCGAGCGGUAGCACAGAGAGCUUGCUCUCGGGUGACGAGCGGCGGACGGGUGAGUAAUGUCUGGGAAACUGCCUGAUGGAGGGGGAUAACUACUGGAAACGGUAGCUAAUACCGCAUAAUGUCGCAAGACCAAAGUGGGGGACCUUCGGGCCUCAUGCCAUCAGAUGUGCCCAGAUGGGAUUAGCUAGUAGGUGGGGUAACGGCUCACCUAGGCGACGAUCCCUAGCUGGUCUGAGAGGAUGACCAGCCACACUGGAACUGAGACACGGUCCAGACUCCUACGGGAGGCAGCAGUGGGGAAUAUUGCACAAUGGGCGCAAGCCUGAUGCAGCCAUGCCGCGUGUGUGAAGAAGGCCUUCGGGUUGUAAAGCACUUUCAGCGGGGAGGAAGGCGWUAAGGUUAAUAACCUUGUCGAUUGACGUUACCCGCAGAAGAAGCACCGGCUAACUCCGUGCCAGCAGCCGCGGUAAUACGGAGGGUGCAAGCGUUAAUCGGAAUUACUGGGCGUAAAGCGCACGCAGGCGGUCUGUCAAGUCGGAUGUGAAAUCCCCGGGCUCAACCUGGGAACUGCAUUCGAAACUGGCAGGCUAGAGUCUUGUAGAGGGGGGUAGAAUUCCAGGUGUAGCGGUGAAAUGCGUAGAGAUCUGGAGGAAUACCGGUGGCGAAGGCGGCCCCCUGGACAAAGACUGACGCUCAGGUGCGAAAGCGUGGGGAGCAAACAGGAUUAGAUACCCUGGUAGUCCACGCCGUAAACGAUGUCGAUUUGGAGGUUGUGCCCUUGAGGCGUGGCUUCCGGAGCUAACGCGUUAAAUCGACCGCCUGGGGAGUACGGCCGCAAGGUUAAAACUCAAAUGAAUUGACGGGGGCCCGCACAAGCGGUGGAGCAUGUGGUUUAAUUCGAUGCAACGCGAAGAACCUUACCUGGUCUUGACAUCCACAGAACUUUCCAGAGAUGGAUUGGUGCCUUCGGGAACUGUGAGACAGGUGCUGCAUGGCUGUCGUCAGCUCGUGUUGUGAAAUGUUGGGUUAAGUCCCGCAACGAGCGCAACCCUUAUCCUUUGUUGCCAGCGGUUMGGCCGGGAACUCAAAGGAGACUGCCAGUGAUAAACUGGAGGAAGGUGGGGAUGACGUCAAGUCAUCAUGGCCCUUACGACCAGGGCUACACACGUGCUACAAUGGCAUAUACAAAGAGAAGCGACCUCGCGAGAGCAAGCGGACCUCAUAAAGUAUGUCGUAGUCCGGAUUGGAGUCUGCAACUCGACUCCAUGAAGUCGGAAUCGCUAGUAAUCGUAGAUCAGAAUGCUACGGUGAAUACGUUCCCGGGCCUUGUACACACCGCCCGUCACACCAUGGGAGUGGGUUGCAAAAGAAGUAGGUA
rnacentral:rRNA from 1 species